CCACGGUGGGUUAACUGGACCAGAGAAGAACCACGGUGGGUUAACUGGACCAGAGAAGAACCACGGUGGGUUAAACUGGACCAGAGGGGAAUCAGCUUCUGACAGAAUGAUAAAUGAACCUGAGACAAAGGGACAGUUUGUUUUCAGCUGAGAUUUCUGGUGAAGCGAGCCGAGCCUGCAGAGCUCUGAGUGCAGGACCGGCGCUGAUGGUGACUAAUGGACCGAGACGAGUCAACAGGACUUUGAUCUGUGGUCUGGGCUGACAGAACUGAGCAGCUGCAGGGCAGAGCACCAGUACAACCCUCAUGUCUCCAUCAGUCAAUCUGCAGAAGAAACAGGAAGCUGUGCAGGUGAAAAGUGAAACUCCAGAACUAAGAGGGUCUACAAACAUCUGCAGGACAUCUGGAUCUGUCAGCUGGAAGAGAAAAAUUAAACAACCAGUCAGAGUUUCUGGCUCUUGUAAGAAUCAGAAAAUGAUUCCUAAAGAUAAAACAAAAGGAAUCUAUCCUCGGGUUUGAUUCUGAGCAUGCUCAGUGGACAGGACGGUGCCAGUAGCACGCUCUGAUCAGCUGGAAGCUGACGACCUGCAUCUUUGCUCGCUCUGCUGCUACAAGAAUCGGGACAACACCGACCCAAAGGUCCUCCCGAGUCCAUCUCAGACAUCUGUCCCCCUGAACAAACCAGGCUGCUGAGACCCGACACCCAGCUGUCAGCGGUGCGAGUCUGGUGGCGUUGACUUGUUGAACUGCAAACAUCAGCAGCUUGUUGAAGACGGACUCCUCCAAGGAACUGAAAACAGACCCGACACGCUGCUGCUAACACCAGCCUGACAGAGCGACACGAGGAAAUCUGUUAUCCUACAAAACCAUCAGAGUAAAUCCGGACGACGGUUCGUCUAAUCAACACGCAGGCAGAGCAGCUGAAUCCUAAAUGAGCUUCUGAUGGGAUCUGUUUCCCAGACAGGUGUCCCUUCAGCUGGUGUGUUCUCCUGCAGCGGGUGUACCCCGCCUGCAUGCCCGGAGACAGCUGGAGAUAGUACCCAGCCCCCUGCGACCAUGCAAGGAUAAGCGGGUAAAGAAAAUGGACGGAUGGAUGGAUGGAUGGACGGAUGGAUGCUACAACGAUAAACCAACAAUAGACAAAUACAACAUCCCAACUCCUUCAUUCCUCGCCCACUCUGGAACACGGUUUGAGUUACAUGAACCCCAUCAUGUGAUAAGUACAGCUUGGCUAUUCCAUACAAUAAAAACCUUGCCUAUAAAGAUAAUAAAAUCCAAAUUUGCGAUUGUUCAAAUUGAGCAUUUUGACUGUAAAGACUAAAAAGGAUAGCUUGAACCUGUUGCUUCUCAUUCUAGGAAUCAAAUGUCUCCUCCUCGAGGACCCCCAAGAUGCUUCACAACACAAUCAGUCAUCCACACAUUCACACGCUGGUGAUGAUGAGCUACAGUGUAGCUACAGCUGUCCCGGGGCGCACUGACAGAGGCGAGGCUGCUGAGCACUGGCACCACUGGCACCACUGGCACCACCGGUCCCUCCGACCACCACCUGCAGGCAACGGGGGUUAAGUGUCUUGCCCAAGGACACGACACUAUCAUUCUCUGGUGGGAGCUGGGACUGAACCUACAACCUUCCAAUUACUGCUCCACCUCCUGAGCUACUGCUGUCCCUUAUAUUUCAGUUUAGACUAUAUCCACGUGUUAAUAAAGUCCACAGAUAGCCCCUUGCUCAAAAACGAGCUCCUGGGUUUGUUUUGCUGGACUUCCUGUCUGAAGCGUAAACAAGAAACCUCACAGCUCUGCACAUCUGUCCACGGGUUCCUCUGACUUCUCCUCGAACAAACCUCCACCUACGGGAUUAGCUGUCACACCGCCAAGGAAAAGCUUUAACUAAACCUAAAAAUUAAAAUCAGUCAUGAAUCGUCUAGAAAAAAGUUCUAGAUUCAGAGGAUUCAAUUUUACUUCUGAGUUGUUUCUUUCUGUUUGUAGCUCUGAUCGUCUGUAGAGCAUCAGCAGCUGACGCCUGCAGCUCUCCAACUAAAACAUGAAAAUCUCAUCAAACCCUCCUGUUGUGCAGCCUCCUCCUCCUCCUCCUCCUCCUCCUCAUGUUUACGUUUCUGUUUAAUGACGUCUCACAGCGUCUGAGUGUGCUUUGAUUUAAUUUAUUCACAAAAGUAGAAAAGUUUAAAAUGCUAAUUUAAUGAGGGACCUGCAGGAAAUCCACACUUUUCUGCCUAAAUGAAGUUUUAAUGAAGAGGGAAAAACACACAAGCAAGAAUUUGUUAUUUAGAUCAGAGAAUGUUUUAAAUAGCUGAAGGAAACUUUAAAUUCUGUAAACACAGAGCAGAGAAUCAGGAUGACACUGGUAGACCAAAUUCCUGUCAUGUCAGUGACUUAUAGAGUUUAAUCUAACGCUUCCCUCCACCGAGCGUGAGAAGAAUUCACUGGGCUCUAAUCUGGGUCAGCUCUGCGGUGAAGGAGCUAAAAACGUCUUCAUUUCUCUGAGAAGCCUUGGCCUCCCAUUCGUUUAAACCGAUGAAAGGUUCUAGGAUCAGCUGGAGGCCGUCGGCGCGGCGUGACACUCAGCUGCACGUUUCCCCUCUUCUCCUCCUAAACUCCCCGGAGCUGACUCGGAGCCAGCUGUUGUCCGAGAGGCGAGUGAAUCGAGGGGAGUGAUGUCACGCUGCGGGAAUGUAAACCCCAAAGCUACACCUUCAGUCCUCCCUGCAGCGCUGCAAUCUGACUCCUGGAAAGUUUUGCUGCCGCAGCUGCAGACCUUCGCUCUAAAUCACACAGAAUAGAGAAGCGAGAACUUUCACACGUGUCUGAUCUCAGAUCAGUUAGAUUCAGUUAGCUGCUACACAUCGACUCCAUGACUUUUACCCUAACAAAGAGCAGAAUUCAUGCUGAGGUCCUGUUUUAAAUCUACAUGGUAAAAAACAGAAUCCUCUGUGAAGCUUAGGGACUUUUUUAAUCUCCCGAGACCUGAGAUUUGUUUGGAUUAGUAGGAUCUCAUAAACAACAAUCAGUCACUCAAUCGCUUUCUGACCCUGCUAAUUCCUGAGUAGGGUCACAGGGAGCUGGUGCCCAACUCCAGCAUUCGCCAGGCGAGAGACGAGGGACACCCUGGACAGGUCACCAGAGAGACAAUCGCUCAAUCUUUAGAAAUAAAGACCCAGACAAGGAAAACCAACUCAUUUCACUGAAACACCACUGCUGUCUUAUUAAGAUGCAGCGCAGGGGCGGGCAACUCCAGUCCUCGAGGGCCGGUAUCCUCCAUCUUUUUGUUAUUUCCCAGUUCCGACACAGUUGAUUCAGCAGCUCAUCAAGCUGCAGAAGCCAGCUAAUCUCCAGCUGAUUGAAGUGUGUUGAAACAGGGAAAACAGUAAAACAUGUGGGAUAGUGGCCCUCGAGGACCAGGAUGGCCCGCCCCUAAUGCAGCGUUUUGGGUCAGAACAUCAGUGAUGUGCUGGGCCCAAAUAAGACCCAAGUGGUGCAGCUCCACCUUCCGUCAGGAGUCAAAUCUGAUGUCAUCAGAAGGGAUCUGAAGGGCUUCAAACUCUAAAUGUGUUUGCAAAGGCUGGAUAACAAAGCAGAACUGGGUCAGAACUCACAAGCUGAACCCGACAGGAUCUCGUCAUGUCAUGUAGAGCAUCUUCAGUCAUGUGCCCUACGAGCUACAGACGCACAAAAGAGAAAAAACGAGCGCCUGCUGCAGAACGUGUUACAUAACGCAGUGAAUAAAGAAAACACACACACACACACACACACACACACAGAGGAUACAGCCUCCAACUACAUUCAUUAUAGUCAUGUUUUUAUUUCAGAGCGCUAUAAAGUGUUCUGCUGCUGUACUGAGCACAACCACAGGCUUGUUCUGCUCACACAGGAGAUGGCGUGUACGUGGGAGAGGAGUGCAUGUGGAAGGUGUGCACGUAGAAAACAGGGAGCCUGUGAUCAGUUCAGCUGCGGGUCAGCAGACAUCCCAAAGGCCGAGCUGAUCCAGAACUACUUUAUUAGUCAGGAGAACCCAGUUAGGAUUAGAGGAGCAUCUAUUCUGGUUCUGAGCUCUCGUUUACAAUUUUUAUUUAGCAGUUUUAUCCAACUCCAGCUUAGCAUGAAGAAAUUUUAAUUAGUAGAAAAUUAUUAUCUUUUAAAAAAUUUUCUGUAUCCCAGAUUUGAAAACUUGCCCCAUUGGAGCCUCGGCAGGUCUACGGCUGGCCUGCACAGUUUUGUGUCUAGCUCGCUGUUGGGCAGGCUUAAUGCUAGAGGUGCAACGGAGAAAACUACAAAGAUGGCAUUAGCUCAGGAAUGCAGAAUGGCUGAAGGAACGUACAACAACAAUGCUGCUACACAGCUUAUCUGGUACGUACUGUCUUGUUUUAUGGUGUUACACGUGUUGCUUUGUAAUGAUGGUCUUGUCAGAGGACCACUUCCGAGAGGCCCAGACUUCCCUCUCCCCAGCCACUUGGGCCAGCUCUUCCGGGGGAACCCCAAAGCGUUCCCUGGCCAGGUGAGAGACAUAGUCCCUCAAGCGUGUCCUGGGUCUACCUUUAGGUCUCCUCCUGGUUGGAUGUGCUCGGAAAACCUCACCAGGGAGGCAUCACCAUGACAGACCGGUACAACGCCCGCAUCCAGGGUCCGAAAUAAAAUUUUUUACUCACCGGCCAAGUUGGCCGGUAGAUGAUGAAAAUCUACCGGCCAAGCAUAUUUUUUACCGGCCAAAAUUCUAAAUGAUUUAGAUCUACCUAAAGCAUGUUAUUCUAUAUUAUGUUGAUUCCAAACAGAGUGACAAAAUAAUUAAAACAUCAAUUAAUAAGGAAAACAACUCUUUUGUCAUUUUUACUAUUUAUUUGUUUAUUUUUAGAGAUGUUUUUAUGAACUCUUUCAUUGAAAUCUAGUCAGACUCCUUGUUUUCUCUGUCCAUGAAGUCUGGCCUCCUGCUUCUGACACUGUCUUUGUGCCAAAGCAUUACAGCCUCAUUUGGGUCCUAGUCCUUGAUCUCUGGAGAACACAGCUGCACCAUGAGAAUAUCUGAAAGUGUGUCAGGGCUAGGGUUGUCACGGUAACCGGUGUAGCAGUAAACCCCGGUAAAAAAGUAGACAAUAAAUAAUAACCGUCUUGUUUUUAAAAAAAACUAUAUUAUCUUGGUGGAUUAGCGUGGCUGCAGUGUAGGUGCGGUGACCCUUACCAGCCACCGUAUCAUCUGUUGGAAGUUGCUGGCGGCACAUGCGCACUUUGUUGUUUACGACCAAAACUUUCUUUAAGCUAAAGCUGAAAUAAUGGCAGGAGGAGACGGCAGCACUUGGGACAUUUAUUAUCCCUCAAAGAAGACAAAGUGGGAAGUACGGGCAUUUUUUGGAUAUUUGAAGAAUGCCGAGGGCCAGUUGUCUGUGAAAGGCAGCAACGCUACGUGGCCAUCAUAAUGUAGCCAUUGUCUCACGACUCCGCCGUCUCCAGUUCGCCACUUUUCACAAAAUCUUCUGGUUUCCACUGGUCCUGGUGGUUUUUCUUCCAGUUCAACGAGUUUUCUUUUGGAAGGCUGGCUGACUCCAGCUAAAAAUCGCCACAUUUCACCGCUAGUUUUAACACGAAGCUAACAGCUAACUUGAUAAACUGAUUGAAUGGGAUAGGUGGAAAUGACGUUGGAUGCGGCGUUCACGUUUCGCGUACGUUUGUGUACGUUGCAUGCAGGCGGGAGGAGUAUCAGACAUCCGUGUUAGAUGACUGAUAAACAUAACUAAUUUGGUGCAAAUAUUUACUCGCCAGGUGGCAGGUAGAGCUAAAAAAUUUACUCGCCAAAUGGAGCAAUUUACUCGCAUUUGGCGAGUGGCGAGUGUUAAUUUCGGACCCUGCCCGCAUCACUGCAGAUGCAGCACCAAUCCGCCUAUCGAUCUCACGCUCCAGUUUUCCCUCACUCCUGAACAAGACCCCGAGAUACUUAAACUCCUCCACUUGGGGCAGGACCUCAUCCCUGACCUGGAGAAGGCAUUCUACCCUUUUCCGACUCCAGUAAAUAUGCUGCUAUCUUGACAUUUUUGCUGUCCAUAGACUAUUUUUUGGUUUCUAAAUGUAUAUUUUAGUGUUAGCUGAAUUUCUGCAGCGUGUUGAACACAGCACAACCGUUACCACCUCAGUACAUGCCCAGUUUGCACACAUUACACGUGUUUAUUACACUCCCUUUGCUGUUCAUUUAAAAAUGCAUCCAAAUUACAGAUAUUUUCUCUCUCUAGAGGUGACAACUAUGCUCUGUGUUAGCUAACUGCUACAUGUUAUAGUGCGUGAAUUCCCAGACUUCUUGAAAUUGUGGAACUUUACAGUGUUGUCUGUGAAACAAAGAACACUGAUGUAGAGGAACUUGUUGAAUUUAAACUAGGCCAUUGUUUUUCCAAUAGAAAAUCUUUCUCAGGAUGAAUUUAAAUAGUAAUGUUUGUUGUUUCAUAUGGUUCCCUGGGCUGCCUCCUUACCGUGGUGGAGGGGUUUGAGUGUCUCAAUGAUCCUAGGAGCUAGGUUGCCUGAGGCUUUAUGCCUCUGGUAGGGUCACCCAUGGCAAACAGGUCCGAAAUGAGGGAUGCCCGAAGA